UCCGAGUUGACCCCGGCAGUCUCCCACGAGUCCCCACCAUUACGUGCUGGCAACGCAGGACAAGGGUUGCGCUCGUUGCGGGACUUAACCCAACAUCUCACGACACGAGCUGACGACAGCCAUGCAGCACCUGUGUUCGAGUUCCCGAAGGCACCAAUCCAUCUCUGGAAAGUUCUCGACAUGUCAAGGCCAGGUAAGGUUCUUCGCGUUGCAUCGAAUUAAGCCACAUGCUCCGCCGCUUGUGCGGGUCCCCGUCAAUUCCUUUGAGUUUUAGCCUUGCGGCCGUAGUCCCCAGGCGGAGGACUUAAUGCGUUAGCUCCGGCACCGGAGGGGUCGAUACCCCCGACACCUAGUCCUCAACGUUUAGGGCGUGGACUAC
rnacentral:misc_RNA from 1 species